rnacentral:rRNA from 1 species
GAUGAACGCUGGCGGCAUGCCUAAUACAUGCAAGUCGAACGAGAGGAAGGAAAGCUUGCUUUCCUGAAUCUAGUGGCGAACGGGUGAGUAACACGUAGGUAACCUGCCCAUGUGCCCGGGAUAACUUCUGGAAACGGAUGCUAAAACCGGAUAGGUAGCAGACAAGCAUUUGACUGCUAUUAAAGUGGCCUUGGCCAUGAACAUGGAUGGACCUGCGGUGCAUUAGCUAGUUGGUGAGGUAACGGCCCACCAAGGCGACGAUGCAUAGCCGGCCUGAGAGGGCGGACGGCCACAUUGGGACUGAGACACGGCCCAAACUCCUACGGGAGGCAGCAGUAGGGGAUUUUCGUCAAUGGGGGGAACCCUGAACGAGCAAUGCCGCGUGAGUGAGGAAGGUCUUCGGAUCGUAAAGCUCUGUUGUAAGAGAAAAACGGCACUCAUAGGGAAUGAUGAGUGAGUGAUGGUAUCUUACCAGAAAGCCACGGCUAACUACGUGCCAGCCGCCGCGGUAAUAC